UACGUAGGGUGCGAGCGUUGUCCGGAAUUACUGGGCGUAAAGAGCUCGUAGGUGGUUUGUCGCGUUGUCCGUGAAAACUCACAACUCAAUUGUGGGCGUGCGGGCGAUACGGGCAGACUGGAGUACUGCAGGGGAGACUGGAAUUCCUGGUGUAGCGGUGGAAUGCGCAGAGUAUCAGGAGGAACACCGGUGGCGAAGGCGGCUACCUGGACAGAGUCUGACGCUGAGGCACGAAGCUAGGGAGC
rnacentral:rRNA from 1 species